GCGGCGUGCUUAACACAUGCAAGUCGAACGGAAAGGCCCUGCUUUUGUGGGGUGCUCGAGUGGCGAACGGGUGAGUAACACGUGAGUAACCUGCCCUUGACUUUGGGAUAACUUCAGGAAACUGGGGCUAAUACCGGAUAGGAGCUCCUGCUGCAUGGUGGGGGUUGGAAAGUUUCGGCGGUUGGGGAUGGACUCGCGGCUUAUCAGCUUGUUGGUGGGGUAGUGGCUUACCAAGGCUUUGACGGGUAGCCGGCCUGAGAGGGUGACCGGCCACAUUGGGACUGAGAUACGGCCCAGACUCCUACGGGAGGCAGCAGUGGGGAAUAUUGCACAAUGGGCGGAAGCCUGAUGCAGCAACGCCGCGUGCGGGAUGACGGCCUUCGGGUUGUAAACCGCUUUCGCCUGUGACGAAGCGUGAGUGACGGUAAUGGGUAAAGAAGCACCGGCUAACUACGUGCCAGCAGCCGCGGUGAUACGUAGGGUGCGAGCGUUGUCCGGAUUUAUUGGGCGUAAAGGGCUCGUAGGUGGUUGAUCGCGUCGGAAGUGUAAUCUUGGGGCUUAACCCUGAGCGUGCUUUCGAUACGGGUUGACUUGAGGAAGGUAGGGGAGAAUGGAAUUCCUGGUGGAGCGGUGGAAUGCGCAGAUAUCAGGAGGAACACCAGUGGCGAAGGCGGUUCUCUGGGCCUUUCCUGACGCCGAGGAGCGAAAGCGUGGGGAGCGAACAGGCUUAGAUACCCUGGUAGUCCACGCUGUAAACGGUGGGUACUAGGUGUGGGGUCCGUUCCACGGGUUCCGUGCCGUAGCUAACGCUUUAAGUACCCCGCCUGGGGAGUACGGCCGCAAGGCUAAAACUCAAAGGAAUUGACGGGGCCCCGCACAAGCGGCGGAGCAUGCGGAUUAAUUCGAUGCAACGCGUAGAACCUUACCUGGGUUUGACAUGGAUCGGGAGUGCUCAGAGAUGGGUGUGCCUCCUUUGGGGUCGGUUCACAGGUGGUGCAUGGCUGUCGUCAGCUCGUGUCGUGAGAUGUUGGGUUAAGUCCCGCAACGAGCGCAACCCUUGUUCACUGUUGCCAGCACGUUAUGGUGGGGACUCAGUGGAGACCGCCGGGGUCAACUCGGAGGAAGGUGGGGAUGACGUCAAGUCAUCAUGCCCCUUAUGUCCAGGGCUUCACGCAUGCUACAAUGGCUGGUACAGAGAGUGGCGAGCCUGUGAGGGUGAGCGAAUCUCGGAAAGCCGGUCUCAGUUCGGAUUGGGGUCUGCAACUCGACCUCAUGAAGUCGGAGUCGCUAGUAAUCGCAGAUCAGCAACGCUGCGGUGAAUACGUUCCCGGGGCUUGUACACACCGCCCGUCAAGUCAUGAAAGUUGGUAACACCCGAAGCCGGUGGCCUAACCGUUGUGGGGGAGCCGUCGAAGGUGGGACUGGUGAUUAGG
rnacentral:rRNA from 1 species